rnacentral:rRNA from 1 species
UACGUAGGGUGCAAGCGUUGCCCGGAUUUAUUGGGCGUAAAGGGCGCGUAGGCGGCUCGACACGUUCGUUGUGAAAUCGCCCGGCUCAACUGGGCGGGGUCAGCGAAUACGGUCGAGCUUGAGCAAGCUAGGGGGCAAUGGAAUUCCCGGUGUAGUGGUGGAAUGCGUAGAUAUCGGGAGGAACACCAGUGGCGAAGGCGGUUGCCUGGGGCUUUGCUGACGCUGAUGCGCGAAAGCGUGGGGAGCGAUCCGG